GGGUGACGGAGCGACGCCGCGUGGGUGAAGAAGGCCUUCGGGUUGUAAAACCCUGUCAGGAGUUAUGAAAUGUAAGUGCGCUAAUAUCGUGCUUAUUUGACAAAGGCUCCAAAGGAAGCCACGGCUAACUCUGUGCCAGCAGCCGCGGUAAUACAGAGGUGGCGAGCGUUGUUCGGAAUUAUUGGGCGUAAAGAGCACGUAGGUGGGUUUGCAAGUCAGAUGUGAAAGCCUUCUGUUCAACGGAAGAAUUGCAUCUGAAACUGCUGAUCUUGAGUAUAGGAGGGGAGAAUGGAACUUCUGGUGGAGCGGUGAAAUGCGUAGAUAUCAGAAGGAACGCCGGCGGCGAAAGCGAUUCUCUGGCCUAUUACUGACACUCAGUGUGCGAAAGCUAGGGGAGCAAACGGGAUUAGAUACCCCGGUAGUCCUAGCCGUAAACGAUGGGCACUAAGUAGAGG
rnacentral:rRNA from 1 species